ensembl:lincRNA
UAAGUAGAGCUCUGUGUUUCAGGUUCUGGCAAGGACACUCGAGGCAACUGUGAAAACGUUUAGUACACAUGGCUGGAGAGCCAAAAAGGAGGCAGAGACUGAGCAAGUUUGAAUCCUGAAAAUAUCUCGUCUUGGUUUGUGAGAAUCUAUCAAUCCUGCCAGAGAAACUUCAGAGGUACAAAUACGCAGCCCCAGGAUACUUACCCACAGCUGAGGAGUCCAAAGGGGAAAACAUGUAGAGACAAAUUUCUUUAUAGUUGCAGAGCAAUGAGACCAAAGGCUGCACUGGAAAUUCUUGCCAAGUCAAGAGGACACUGUAAGAAGACAGGAACCACAGUUUCCAUAAAGAAUACCAGGAACUGGACUAACUAAUGCCAUCUGCAGAACCUGCUUCCCCGUCCAUGUGCUAUAUCAGUUGAUCCUUGAAAUGGUGGCCAUAAAAUAGAAAAAAGCAAGCUAAGGAUGUCACUGCUUAAGUGACUAAUCUACAAACUCUCCUCCCUUCAGUAACUCAGAGUAGAACAGAGCACAACUGAGAACUGCACUUCAGCAGCUACCACUGAACACUCAGAUUAUUUUCUGGUGAAUAUAUGUCUAGCUUGUCACCAGUUGACCUCCUAUGUGCUUUUGUUCAGUAUGCAGCCCUGGCGUACUAUUCCCGUGGUGCUGAUGAAAUCCUCCUGUCUCUCACAGACCCUCCCCUUUUGGAAACUGUCAGAUAAAACUAUCCUCCCUGUAGGUACUUGUUAGUGAAUCUAAAUAAAACCUUUUAUCACACAAGCUAUCUCCAGGUAUUUUGUUGAGUUUCUCAACAACCCAUUCCAGUGCUUCAGCAAAUCCAAGACAUGACCUUACAAUACAC